AUUGAACGCUGGCGGCAUGCCUUACACAUGCAAGUCGAACGGCAGCACGGGAGCAAUCCUGGUGGCGAGUGGCGAACGGGUGAGUAAUAUAUCGGAACGUGCCCAGUCGUGGGGGAUAACGUAGCGAAAGCUACGCUAAUACCGCAUACGAUCUAUGGAUGAAAGCGGGGGAUCGCAAGACCUCGCGCGAUUGGAGCGGCCGAUAUCAGAUUAGGUAGUUGGUGGGGUAAAAGCCUACCAAGCCUUCGAUCUGUAGCUGGUCUGAGAGGACGACCAGCCACACUGGAACUGAGACACGGUCCAGACUCCUACGGGAGGCAGCAGUGGGGAAUUUUGGACAAUGGGCGCAAGCCUGAUCCAGCAAUGCCGCGUGCAGGAUGAAGGCCUUCGGGUUGUAAACUGCUUUUGUACGGAACGAAACGGUUCUCUCUAAUACAGGGGGCUAAUGACGGUACCGUAAGAAUAAGCACCGGCUAACUACGUG
rnacentral:rRNA from 1 species